rnacentral:rRNA from 1 species
AUUGAACGCUGGCGGCAGGCUUAACACAUGCAAGUCGAGCGGAGAUGAGGUGCUUGCACCUUAUCUUAGCGGCGGACGGGUGAGUAAUGCUUAGGAAUCUGCCUAUUAGUGGGGGACAACAUUCCGAAAGGAAUGCUAAUACCGCAUACGUCCUACGGGAGAAAGCAGGGGAUCUUCGGACCUUGCGCUACUAGCUGAGCCUAAGUAGGAUUAGCUAGUUGGUGGGGUAAAGGCCUACCAAGGCGACGAUCUGUAGCGGGUCUGAGAGGAUGAUCCGCCACACUGGGACUGAGACACGGCCCAGACUGCUACGGGAGGCAGCAGUGGGGAAUAUUGGACAAUGGGGGGAACCCUGAUCCAGCCAUGCCGCGUGUGUGAAGAAGGCCUUAUGGUUGUAAAGCACUUUAAGCGAGGAGGAGGCUACUGAGACUAAUACUCUUGGAUAGUGGACGUUACUCGCAGAAUAAGCACCGGCUAACUCUGUGCCAGCCGCCGCCGUAAGAC